AAUAUUUCCUUAGAUUGGGGAUAACUUUCGUACUGGUAAGUUGUACUUUAAAUUUCACUUUAUUUAUUUUCAAUGUUUGACUUAAAUAUGUCCAUUUAUUUACAUUUGAUUAUUUUGUUUUGAGUCAUACAUUUCUUAAUUCAUAAAUGUACGUUUCCGUUCCAAAAAAUAGCAAUCAGCAAGUUUUCGUACAAAUAAACAGUCUAACCAAUAAAAUUGCACAUAUCUGUACCGCGCUGAAGUGCAGCUAAAGUACGUCCAUUAUUCAUUUUUCAUUAUUCAAAAUUCAAUAAUGAAUAAUGAAAUAGUUCACUAUUCACUAUUCAAUGUUUAGUAAUGAAUAAUGAAAAAGUUUGUUUAAUUAUUCAAGUUGAAGCGGCGAAUAGUAAAAAAAAUGACCGUGACACUGAAGAAUAGUGAAAAUUAAUAAAAAGACAACGUAGAGUAUUUUGAUUAAUAUAUAUAUCUGGUGUACAAAAAAAAUGUUUGCUCCUCAUGUUUGUGGUAUAACAUCUUUGCUGCAAGUUAAAGUUUAUUGUUUUUUUUCUGUUUAGUAUAAAAUUCAUAUUAACAUCCAUUUUGUAACAUCUUGUGAUCAAUUUAUUUGGCAAUCGCCAAUGGCAGUCAGCAGGGUUAACCCGUUUAAGAACAUCAGUUGUUCGACCUGGUAGUCAAAUGCGUUUUGUUAAAAUAUACUUUCAACUUUUUUGGUCUUUUGGAAAAUGUUGUUUGUGCUGUAUUUAGACCCUUCUUCAACGAAAUUUGUUUUACAUGCACACGUAUAAAAAUUGUGCGGUUUUUAUCCAACGCAAUCAUAGGUUUGAACGUAGUUUUCAAUUUAGACUUGUUUAUAUUUUUUCGUUUGGGCUUGUAUCAUAUUUUCCCAACAGUUUAUAUGAUCCGUUCAUCCUACUUUGACUGUUUAAAUUCAAGAGUCUAUGAUCCUAAAUUGAGAUAAAUUAUAUGGCAUUCAAAUACCGUUUCGAUCCCUAACAUCACUGAAGAGACAUUUAUUGUCGAAAUCCGGAUCUGGUGUACAAAAAAAUUGUUUGCACCUCAUGUUUGUGGUAUAACAUCUUUGCUGCAAGUUUAUUGUUUUUCUGUAUAGUAUAAAAUUCAUAUUUAGAUCCAUUUUGUUACAUCUUGUGAUCAAUUUAUUUGGCAAUCGCCAAUGGCAGUCAGCAGGGUUUAAGAACAUCAGUUGUUCGACCUGGUAGUCAAAUGCGUUUUGUUAAAAUAUACUUUUCACUUUUUUUUUGGUCUUUUGGAAAAUGUUGUUUGUGCUGUAUUUAGACCCUCCUACAACAAAAUUUGUUUUACAUGCACACGUAUAAAAAUUGCGGUUUUUAUCCAACGCAAUGUCUAAAUUGAAAACUACGUUCAAACCUAUGAUUGCGUUGGAUAAAAACCGCAAUAUAUAUAAACGAGUCUAAAUUGAAAACUACGUUCAAACCUAUGAUUGCGUUGGGAAAAAAAAUGAUCACAAGAUGUAACAAAAUGAAUCUUAAUAUAAAUUUAAUACUAUAAAGUGCCUAACAAGAUUUUGUGAGGGAAUUCGAUGUUUGCUAUACCACUGUUUAUUUCAACGCACUUUAUGACAAUACUUCUGUACCAAUCGAAAUGAAAUUUUUUGCAGUGUUUUGAGAAAUGAUUUUACUUUGUAGAAACGUAUUUUCUGGAAAACAUUUUAUUUUAAAAAGGAUAAAUUUUCUGUAUAAAGUCAAUAAUUAUGUCGACUUUUGAAGCCCAAACUUUGUAUGGCCUUAAAUACAUAAAUGAAAGAUAAAAAAAACUGUACCAAUACAGAACGACAUGUUAAUGAAAUUUAGCAAAACUUUUGGUUGACAAAUUUUUAUUCGUUAUCGCAAAAAAAAAAUAAUUUUGAAUAUCUUACAUUUUCUUCCUACCCAGUUUACCCCUAUUACUUAUUACAAUGUGGACCGGUCAUUGUUAUUAAAUAUUACGCAAUUUGAUUGGGUUAAGUUAUUAUUAGUUUACCUUCAAACUGUUUAUACUUUUCAACAUGACUAUGAUUAAAUCAGAACGUGCAUGAAUGUGACAGUAACUAAAAUGACCUUCAAACUUACACUGGAUGAGUCCAUGUUAUGUUUAUCAAUGAAAGUAUAGGUAUGAAAGGUAAUAAAUGCCAAUUCUCCUAUUUUCACAAAAUUUUCAAAAUACACAGUAAAUAAAUUAUUUUUUAAUAGUCAAUUGCGGAGAAAAACAGAAAAAGUUUACAAAUAAAACGUUUUAUUCCAAUCACCAAGUCAUUUUUCGGAGAGAAAUGCCGAAAUACACUUUACACACGGCUACGCCAGGUAACAUUAUUAUACCCCACGCAACGAAGUUGCGGAGGGUAUAAUGUUUUUGACCCGUCCGUCCGUCAGUCCGUCAGUCCUGUUUCUUGUCAUCGCAACUCCUCUCAAACCACACAACAGAAUUUCACGAAACCUUUUCAGAUAAUACAUACUAUGUAGUUGUGCAUAUCGACGGGAAAUUGUGAUUCAAUUUUUUUUCUAGGAGUUACGCCCCUUUGAACUUAUUUACUUUAAUGUACUACUGCAACAGUUUGUCAUCGCAACUCCUCUCAAACCACACACAGAAUUUCACGAAACCUUUUCAGAUAAUAAGGACAUACUAUGUAGUUGUGCAUAUCGACGGGAAAUUGCGAUUCAAUUUUUUUCUAGGAGUUACGCCCCUUUGAACUUAUUUACUUUAAUGUACUACUGCAACAGUUUGUCAUCGCAACUCCUCUCAAACCACACAACAGAAUUUCACGAAACCUUUUCAGAUAAUAAGGACAUACUAUGUAGUUGUGCAUAUCGACAGGAAAUUGCGAUUCAAUUUUUUUUCUAGGAGUUGCACCCCUUUGAACUUAUUUACUUUAAUGUACUACUGCAACAGUUUGUCAUCGCAACUCCUCUCAAACCACACAACAGAAUUUCACGAAACUUUGUAGAUAAUAAGGACAUACUAUGUAGAUGUGCAUAUCAACAGGAAAUUACGGUUCAAUUUUUUUCUAGGAGUUAAGCCCCUUUGAACUUAUUUGCUUCAAUGUACUUCUGCAACAGUUUGUCAUCUCAACUCCUCUCAAACCACACAACAGAAUUUCACGAAACCUUUUCAGAUAAUAAGGACAUACUAUGAAGUUGUGCAUAUCGACGGGAAAUUGCGAUUCAAUUUUUUUUCAAGGAGUUACGCCCCUUUGAACUUAUUUACUUUAAUGUACUACUGCAACAGUUUGUCAUCGCAACUCCUCUCAAACCACACAACAUAAUUUCACGAAACUUUGUAGAUAAUAAGGACAUACUAUGUAGAUGUGCAUAUCAACAGGAAAUUACGGUUCAAUUUUUUUUCUAGGAGUUAAGCCCCUUUGAUCUUAUUUGCUUCAAUGUACUUCUGCAAUAGUUUGUCAUCUUAACUCCUCUGAAAACACACAACAGAAUUUCAUGAAAUUUUGUAGAUAAUAAGGACAUACUAUGUAUAUUGACAGGAAAUUAUUAUUCAAUAUUUUUUCUUAUACUUAUUUAAUUUCUCCAAUGACAAUGUGGGGAUGUGGGGUAUGUGAGCGUGCUCACUGAAAGGUUCUUUAAUUAUUCAUCUUACAAAAAACAACAUUUUCCAGUCUCAUUAGCACAUACUUACAACUUCUCGUCCAAUCAAAUUGCUUGAAUUUGCCUUCUAAUUUUCAUAGUACAUACUUUUUCCGUGUACUAAGUAACUACGCAUGAAUGACCACAAGGGUAAGAUUUCAUAGUUAGGAAAAUCCACUGGUUGAUCCUCCGAAACUAAAUAAAGAAAUAAAAUUAAACUUUUAAGAGUGUUUAUACUUUUUGUUCUGAUAUUAAUUUGAACAUUUGUUAGAUAACACCAAUAUGACGAAUUUAGAAAUACGAAAUAUAGCUAUAGUGUCACGGUCAUUUUUUUUAAUUUUUAUUUCACUAUUCACCGCUUCAACUUGAAUAAUGAAACAUAACUAUUUCAUUAUUUAUUAUUGAAUUUUGAAUAAUGAAAAAUGAAAAAUGAAAAAUGGACGUACGUCAGCGCGGUCAUAUCUGUUUACAAAUUUGCAGAUUUGGGCAAACAACUAUAUAUAGACUGACUGUGUACUGCGAAAGUACAAUCCAAGAUGGCGGUACCUGCUGUUAUUCUAAAAUUGUUUUUUGAUAUUUCUUAUUUUUUUCGUGUCAUGAGUGUUAAAAAAUAUGUACAGAAAAAUUGUUUGUUGCUUUUUCGUAGAAUUCAUACACUGAAAGAAGAACGUCAUUACAGUGGUAGUCAGGAUGCUUACGUGUCAAACGAUCCUCAUUUUCUUGGCCAUGUAUUUGCCCUUCAUAGCGUGCAGUUCAAAGUCAUGUGUUAUGGACAUAUUAGAUGAUUUUGAACAAAUGAAAGUGGACGUGGCAAGGUCUAAAG
rnacentral:lncRNA from 1 species